rnacentral:rRNA from 1 species
GACGAACGCUGGCGGCGUGCCUAAUACAUGCAAGUUGAGCGCUGAAGGUUGGUACUUGUACCAACUGGAUGAGCAGCGAACGGGUGAGUAACGCGUGGGGAAUCUGCCUUUGAGCGGGGGACAACAAUUGGAAACGAAUGCUAAUACCGCAUAAAAACUUUAAACACAAGUUUUAAGUUUGAAAGAUGCAAUUGCAUCACUCAAAGAUGAUCCCGCGUUGUAUUAGCUAGUUGGUGAGGUAAAGGCUCACCAAGGCGAUGAUACAUAGCCGACCUGAGAGGGUGAUCAGCCACAUUGGGACUGAGACACGGCCCAAACUCAUACGGGAGGCAGCAGGAGGGAAUCUUCGGCAAUGGACGAAAGUCUGACCGAGCAACGCCGCAUGAGUGAAGAAGGUUUUCGGAUCGUAAAACUCUGUUGGUAGAGAAGAACGUUGGUGAGAGUGGAAAGCUCAUCAAGUGACGGUAACUACCCAGAAAGCGACGGCUAACUACGUG